rnacentral:piRNA from 1 species
UGUGGGUAUGCACAGGGGCAGUGAGGGC